rfam:Gossypium hirsutum cultivar TM-1 chromosome 20, whole genome shotgun sequence
UGUUAAAAAUUUUAUCCAUUUGUAUCAUUAAAAAUUGACAUGAUUGACGAAAGAACGAGAUAGUGACAUGUAACGUGUCGCAUGUACCUCAUGUUGUGUACUAAGACCAAUUUUUAACAGAAGAAAUGGAUAAAAUUUUUAAUA